CCUCGGCUCGGGGCCGCCCGCGCCUGCCCCCGGGGCCCACGGCCGUGAUUUGCGCCCCGUGGGUCGUGCAGCGCGGGGGCCACCGUUAGCAGUGCCUUCAAAACGGCGCUGACCGCCCAGGGCCGCGCUCGAGGGUAAAAGCACUGCCAAGUACCCCUAAAUCGCGAGAGGGUAGGGUGCCACCUGGGAAGUAGUUUGUAACUCCUCCAAAUUAGCCUCAGACGACCACAAACAAGAACUUCGGUACAUCCUCCAGCUCUGAUGGCCUUUUCAGAGCUGGGUUAUAGCGAGGGGGGGGUAAUUCUCUGCCUCCACGUUUUGCAAUACCCAUGUAAAACAGGUACAGUGCCAUAAAUUCGGGAGUCUCAGGUAAGUCGGCAUGUGUAGUUGUGUGUACACCUCAGUCCCAGUGUCCUCUUAGGAGCUAAGGCACAAAAGAAGUAAGCAAGCGACCUGACAUGACAAAACAGAACUGGACACCUAAUUGUGGCAGGAGCCUGUUCCUCCUUCUGAGGGCCACAGGAGGGAAUAUAUCCCCUCCAACAGCACACCAACCCCGGAGCAGGUAGCACUGUUUAUCAAACACAGCAGUGGGCACAGUUCACCUGAUAAAAAUCUCCCAGGGAGCUCUGCGUGCCUGUCUCUAACAGUCACACAGGCCAGGCACUGUCAGAUUUGAGAAGGAAGCUUAAGGAACACCAUUGGCUGUCUAUAUACAAACACUGCAGAUGCUCCCUUGGAGCAGCCCAGAAAGCCCGACUGUAUUUUCAGCCCUUGGCUCUGCUCUAGAAAUGUUGUUCCUGCUCUGCUGACAAUCAGAGUAUGCUGGCUGCAAAUUACCAAUAGAUCCCCACCUCCUACCACAGCCCCACACCCUCGGAGGGAGAGGGAGCAGGCACACUGGGAGACUGGCCAGCACAGCCAACACAGCCAUUGACACCGAAUGCCCAACAGUUUUGUAACUACAGUGGAUUUACCUCUCAAGCAGCCAGUCAUCAGUGUGCUGCUCUACACACCGACUGGAGGCCAGCAGAAAGUCACUUCUGUAUUGCCAACGCUGUAGAGCAAACAAACUCCAUUGUCUGAAGCUAUAUUCAUUUGAAGAGGACAGCUGGGAUCUUUCUGCCUAUGUUUCUCUAAAUUAGUGCAGAUUGAGUCACUUUAUUUGUGAGCAUACACAACUGCAUGGUUAUAGGUCAUUCCAACCUGGUGUACAGAGCAGGGGACAGCAGCUAGGCGAGGUGGAGCGGCUUGUGCUUACACAGGAUUCUCCAGUGCUGUUCUGGGUGUCUGAGCUCCCCACAAACCCACUCCUUGAAGAAAACCUGCUCCUGAUUUGGGAGCUGCAGAGCAGAUGUGUACUAUUCCACACAUGUUUUCCCUGCCAGUUAAGCAUAAGCAAAUGACAUUCUUUUUGUGUCCACCUGAACUAUCCUGAAGCUAUCUAGGGCUCCAAGACACUGACCAAAAUACAGUCUGAGUUACUGAGUUGCUGCAGUUGGUAAAGGCACCACACAGGCUCUCAGAGCACUGAUUGCACUCACAUUUCUAGCCCAAUGUUACCCAAACUGUGCUGAGUUACACAGCAACACCUGUUUGCAUCAUAAACAUCAGGAAUCAGCAGAGCUCAGCUGCAUCAUCUAACCUCAAAACAACCCGACUUGUGUUUAAAUACUGUGUAAGGCCUAAUCCAUCACUGCUGUUUUAUUUGACCAAACUUCCCUUGAAUGACAACAUAUUUUCACUCUGUUUUUCUGGAAGCUCAUGCUACAGCAACACAAGGCUGUUCACUUACAGCUUGUGCUUGGGGCUAGUAAAAUGUCACAUAAUUGAGUUUUCUUUAUUUGCUUUUCUUAUUAGAUCUAUGUGCCCUGUGCCAAGGGCUAUGAAGUGUUGAAGCAGCCUUCUCGAGAUGAGUAUUUUCACAGAUCCAAAAGCAUGCAAUGCUGCUGGAGGAACUUGAUGAAUACUCAAGUAGAUUAAGUGACCUUAAUUGCUUACUUGGACACGACCAGCAUUAAACAGCUUUUAAAAGCCAUUAGGAGCUAUCCAUAAUCUUUUUA